GAUGAACGCUGGCGGCGUGCCUAAUACAUGCAAGUCGAGCGAACGGACGAGAAGCUUGCUUUUCUGAUGUUAGCGGCGGACGGGUGAGUAACACGUGGAUAACCUACCUAUAAGACUGGGAUAACUUCGGGAAACCGGAGCUAAUACCGGAUAAUAUUUUGAACCGCAUGGUUCAAAAGUGAAAGACGGUCUUGCUGUCACUUAUAGAUGGAUCCGCGCUGCAUUAGCUAGUUGGUAAGGUAACGGCUUACCAAGGCAACGAUGCAUAGCCGACCUGAGAGGGUGAUCGGCCACACUGGAACUGAGACACGGGCCAGACUCCUACGGGAGGCAGCAGUAGGGAAUCUUCCGCAAUGGGCGAAAGCCUGACGGAGCAACGCCGCGUGAGUGAUGAAGGUCUUCGGAUCGUAAAACGCUGUUAUUAGGGAAGAACAUAUGUGUAAGUAACUGUGCACAUCUUGACGGUACCUAAUCAGAAAGCCACGGCUAACUACGUG
rnacentral:rRNA from 1 species